rnacentral:tmRNA from 1 species
GGGGGCGACCUGGUUUCGACGUGGGUCGCAAAACCCGAGGUGCAUGCCGAGGAUGCAGGUUUCCUCGUAAAUCCAUCUGCAAAUCAUAGUUGCCAACGACGACAACUACGCACUCGCCGCUUAAUACCCGGUAGGGUGCCAUCUCACUGAAGCCGUGCUUGUGCGUUCAGGUUCGAGGUGUCAUAUCUCACAAGCUAGCGAGGGACGCUCGCCUGGGGCAGAACCGCGAAGCAAACACCAGGACAGCCGUCUGUCUUCCCUGCCCGUCGGGUAGCAGACGGUUAAAUCAAAGACGGGAUAAGCAUGUAGAGCCGACGGCAGAGGGCUUACGGACGCGGGUUCGAUUCCCGCCGCCUCCACCA